rnacentral:rRNA from 1 species
UUGGAGGGCAAGUCUGGUGCCAGCAGCCGCGGUAAUUCCAGCUCCAAUAGCGUAUAUUAAAGUUGCUGCAGUUAAAAAGCUCGUAGUUGAAUUUCGGGACCAUCAUGUCGGUCGUGCCUCGGUACGUACUGGCAUCGUUGGUUUCUCCCUUCUGACGAACCACGAUGUCAUUUAUUUGGUGUUGUGGGGAAUCAGGACU